rnacentral:rRNA from 1 species
UGCAAGUCGAGCGCAGGAAUAAACAGAACCCUUCGGGGUGAUGUUUAUGGAAUGAGCGGCGGACGGGUGAGUAACACGUGGGCAACCUGCCUGUAAGAUCGGGAUAACUCGCGGAAACGUGAGCUAAUACCGGAUAACACUUUUCAUCUCAUGGUGAGAAGAUAAAAGACGGUUUCGGCUGUCACUUACAGAUGGGCCCGCGGCGCAUUAGCUAGUUGGUGAGGUAACGGCUCACCAAGGCGACGAUGCGUAGCCGACCUGAGAGGGUGAUCGGCCACACUGGGACUGAGACACGGCCCAGACUCCUACGGGAGGCAGCAGUAGGGAAUCUUCCGCAAUGGACGAAAGUCUGACGGAGCAACGCCGCGUGAGUGAUGAAGGUUUUCGGAUCGUAAAACUCUGUUGUUAGGGAAGAACAAGUUGGGUAGUAACUGACCCAACCUUGACGGUACCUAACCAGAAAGCCACGGCUAACUACGUGCCAGCAGCCGCGGUAAUACGUAGGUGGCAAGCGUUGUCCGGAAUUAUUGGGCGUAAAGCGCUCGCAGGCGGUCUUUUAAGUCUGAUGUGAAAGCCCACGGCUUAACCGUGGAGGGUCAUUGGAAACUGGAGGACUUGAGUACAGAAGAGGAGAGUGGAAUUCCACGUGUAGCGGUGAAAUGCGUAGAGAUGUGGAGGAACACCAGUGGCGAAGGCGACUCUCUGGUCUGUAACUGACGCUGAGGAGCGAAAGCGUGGGUAGCGAACAGGAUUAGAUACCCUGGUAGUCCACGCCGUAAACGAUGAGUGCUAGGUGUUAGGGGGUUUCCGCCCCUUAGUGCUGAAGUUAACGCAUUAAGCACUCCGCCUGGGGAGUACGGCCGCAAGGCUGAAACUCAAAAGAAUUGACGGGGGCCCGCACAAGCGGUGGAGCAUGUGGUUUAAUUCGAAGCAACGCGAAGAACCUUACCAGGUCUUGACAUCCUCUGAUACCUCUAGAGAUAGAGUUUUCCCUUCGGGGACAGAGUGACAGGUGGUGCAUG